ACGCACGCUGGCGGCGUGCUUAACCCAUGCAAGUCGCACGGAAAGGCUCCAGCUUGCUGGAGUACUCGAGUGGCGAACGGGUGAGUAACACGUGGGUAAUCUGCCCUGCACUCUGGGAUAAGCCUGGGAAACUGGGUCUAAUACUGGAUAUGACCUUUCUCCUUAUGGGGUUUGGUGGAAAGUUUUUCGGUGUAGGAUGAGCCCGCGGCCUAUCAGCUUGUUGGUGGGGUGAUGGCCUACCAAGGCGACGACGGGUAGCCGGCCUGAGAGGGUGAUCGGCCACAUUGGGACUGAGAUACGGCCCAGACUCCUACGGGAGGCAGCAGUGGGGAAUAUUGCACAAUGGGCGGAAGCCUGAUGCAGCGACGCCGCGUGAGGGAUGACGGCCUUCGGGUUGUAAACCUCUUUCAGCAGGGACGAAGCGUAAGUGACGGUACCUGCAGAAGAAGCACCGGCUAACUAUGUG
rnacentral:rRNA from 1 species